rnacentral:lncRNA from 1 species
CCUCACCCUCGCCUCGAUCACCCGCUCCCAGACCUUCAUGGUGUGACUUAUUAAUUUAAUACCCCUAUAGUUGUUGCAGCACUGGAUGUCUCCCUCACCCUCACCCUCGCCUCGAUCACCCGCUCCCAGUCCUUCAUGGUGUGAUUUAUUAAUUUGAUACCCCUAUAGUUGUUGCAACACUGGAUGUCACCUUUGUUCUUGUACAAGGGCACCACUGUACU